UACGUAGGGGGCAAGCGUUGUUCGGAAUUACUGGGCGUAAAGGGUUCGUAGGCGGCGCGGCAAGUUGGGUGUGAAAUCUCUGGGCUUAACCCAGAGGCUGCUUCCAAAACUGCUGUGCUUGAGUGUGGGAGAGGCGCAUGGAAUUGCAGGUGUAGCGGUGAAAUGCGUAGAUAUCUGCAGGAACACCCGUGGCGAAAGCGGCGCGCUGGACCACUACUGACGCUGAGGAACGAAAGCUAGGGGAGCAAACAGG
rnacentral:rRNA from 1 species